ACUUGCGCACAACUUAGAUUAUUUAAGUUUAGAAUAUGAGAAACUAAGUUAUGUUUAGUUAUAUUUUUACUGAUUUUUAUAGAGUAAAGAUAGAAAUAAAACUUAGUAAAAUCAGUAAAAAUAUUCUUAGGCUAAAGUUAAGUAGUUUAAGUUGUGUGCAAGU
rnacentral:rRNA from 1 species